rnacentral:lncRNA from 7 species
GUUUCCUCCAUUUGGUACUCAGAGAGAAGUGCCUCAGCAACUCUUGAAUGCAACUGUAUGAGCAACACGACUACUGCGUGCUCAGCGCAGGCGGAAGAAGACUUCUGCUUCACAAUAGUUAAACAAGUCAAGGACGUAAUUCACAUCCUUUUAAGGUUGGAAGUGAAAAACAGACUACAGAAUGACAGGAGAAAGGAAAAUGCUGGUUUUCAUGGCUUCAUCACUGUUGAACAGAGCAGCCUUAGGUUGGGUCAUUUCUUUGUGCCGGAGGACUUUUCAAAGGAUGCUGAAGCUUUCAUACUACACGGCUUACAGUGCAGAUGGAACAGGACGUGUCGUUAUGUUUACUGUGUGUGGCUGUCAGUGCUUAGCAGUAAGGUGUGCUUGGUUAUUAGCAAUGUCUGGUUCCUGUAUCACGAACCCUACGCCUGCAGCUUUUCUCCUGCCUUUGCCUCUCAGCUGUGAAUUACUGCACUGGUGUGUCUGUGCUCAGGACUACCCAGAAGGAAACACACAAGGCCCAUUUCUGGACUUCAUGAGCUACAAUGUUCGGUGCUGCACAGGUGAGCAUGGUGUGGACAGCAGCACAUGGAUGGGCAUGUCAGGGAAGUACCACAGGGAAGAGCACAGCAAUGCCUUCGAUUCCCCCAGGCUCUUCUCAUAACAUCCUAUGCAAAAUGUCUGCAACAUGGGGAUGUUGAGCAUAGCAAAAGCACAAGCACUAGCAUCGCCAGUGGAAACACUUAUCUGGAAAGAAUGUUCUUCAUUGCACCAUUGGGGAAAUUAAAUCAAAUUAAGCCGUUUCAUUUGUUGGGGUAGGAGAUUAUUCCUCAUUGUGCCAGCAAAUUCUUUACUUGCCUCCAUAAGGAAUUCAUCCAAAGUCUGAAUUUUGAAUGGCUCCAAAAUAAAACUAAUUUAAGCAGU